rnacentral:rRNA from 1 species
ACCCUUAGAUGUUCUGGGCCGCACGCGCGCUACACUGACGGAGGCAGCGAGCAUGUCCUUCGCCGAGAGGUGUGGGGAAUCUUGUGAGUCUCCGUCGUGCUGGGGAUAGAUGGUUGCAAUUGUCGAUCUUGAACGAGGAAUUCCUAGUAAGCGCGAGUCAUCAGCUCGCGCUGAUUACGUCCCUGCCCUUUGUACACACCGCCCGUCGCUACUACCGAUUGGAUGGUUUAGCGAGAGUUUUGGAUCGGAGCUCGGGUGGUCAGCAAUGGUUGCCCGAGACUUACUGAGAAAUCACUCCAGCUGUAUCAUCUAGAGGAAGUAAAAGUCGUAACA